rnacentral:tRNA from 1 species
AAGACACUAGUAAAACUAUUACCCUAUUUUGUCGAGAUAGAAUUGCGGGUUAAAGCCCCGCGCGCCUUA